CGCCGUCCCCGCGGGGCCCCCGUGUCCUUUACCAGGCGAAUGUCCCCGGGGCCGUGCACCACCAGGGACAGGUUCUCGGCCUUGGCCGGCGCCGCCAUGUCGCUUGAGCCGCGGUAGUGAAGGUUGGAGUCGGCGGGACGCACAGUGAUUCUGGUCCCAGCUCGAUACUCCUCUAUAAUGACUGAACACUGACGAUACAGAGAGGUGGCUGGUAACUGUGGAAAGGAGUUUUGUGAAAAAACGGGAGGAGAGGCCAUCUUGGAAUGAGACCUUUGUCCACUGACCCAGGAAAUACAGAGCCCGCAUAAAUAAACCAGCAGUUAACUGUCGUCCACAA